rnacentral:rRNA from 1 species
AAUAGAUACCCGGGUAGUCCACGCCGUAAACGGUGGGCACUAGGUGUGGGCAACAUUCCACGUUGUCCGUGCCGCAGCUAACGCAUUAAGUGCCCCGCCUGGGGAGUACGGCCGCAAGGCUAAAACUCAAAGGAAUUGACGGGGGGCCCGCACAAGCGGCGGAGCAUGUGGCUUAAUUCGACGCAACGCGAAGAACCUUACCAAGGCUUGACAUACACCGGAAACGUCUGGAGACAGGCGCCCCCUUGUGGUCGAUGUACAGGUGGUGCAUGGCUGUCGUCAGCUCGUGUCGUGAGAUGUUGGGUUAAGUCCCGCAACGAGCGCAACCCUUGUCCCGUGUUGCAGCAGGCCCUUGUGGUGCUGGGGACUCACGGGAGACCGCCGGGGUCAACUCGGAGGAAGGUGGGGACGACGUCAAGUCAUCAUGCCCCUUAUGUCUUGGGCUGCACACGUGCUACAAUGGCCGGUACAAUGAGCUGCGAUACCGCGAGGUGGAGCGAAUCUACAAAAACGCCGGUCUCAGUUCGGAGUUGGGGUCUG